GCCCAAAGUCGCACGUGCCUGUGGGUGUCCGCUGGUUCUCAAAUGGUGAGGUCAACCGGUACGGUACCUGGAACUAACCGCUCCAGUCAUUCUUACAGCCAAUUGUAAGAAUGAGGACAUCUUGAAGCAACGACGGUGCGGGCCUUU
rfam:Bartonella tribocorum CIP 105476 complete genome, type strain CIP 105476